AGAGUUUGAUCCUGGCUCAGGACGAACGCUGGCGGCGUGCCUAAUACAUGCAAGUCGAGCGAACAGAAGGGAGCUUGCUCCCGGAUGUUAGCGGCGGACGGGUGAGUAACACGUGGGUAACCUGCCUGUAAGACUGGGAUAACUCCGGGAAACCGGAGCUAAUACCGGAUAGUUCCUUGAACCGCAUGGUUCAAGGAUGAAAGACGGUUUCGGCUGUCACUUACAGAUGGACCCGCGGCGCAUUAGCUAGUUGGUGGGGUAAUGGCUCACCAAGGCGACGAUGCGUAGCCGACCUGAGAGGGUGAUCGGCCACACUGGGACUGAGACACGGCCCAGACUCCUACGGGAGGCAGCAGUAGGGAAUCUUCCGCAAUGGACGAAAGUCUGACGGAGCAACGCCGCGUGAGUGAUGAAGGUUUUCGGAUCGUAAAGCUCUGUUGUUAGGGAAGAACAAGUGCGAGAGUAACUGCUCGCACCUUGACGGUACCUAACCAGAAAGCCACGGCUAACUACGUGCCAGCAGCCGCGGUAAUACGUAGGUGGCAAGCGUUGUCCGGAAUUAUUGGGCGUAAAGGGCUCGCAGGCGGUUUCUUAAGUCUGAUGUGAAAGCCCCCGGCUCAACCGGGGAGGGUCAUUGGAAACUGGGAAACUUGAGUGCAGAAGAGGAGAGUGGAAUUCCACGUGUAGCGGUGAAAUGCGUAGAGAUGUGGAGGAACACCAGUGGCGAAGGCGACUCUCUGGUCUGUAACUGACGCUGAGGAGCGAAAGCGUGGGGAGCGAACAGGAUUAGAUACCCUGGUAGUCCACGCCGUAAACGAUGAGUGCUAAGUGUUAGGGGGUUUCCGCCCCUUAGUGCUGCAGCUAACGCAUUAAGCACUCCGCCUGGGGAGUACGGUCGCAAGA
rnacentral:rRNA from 1 species